rnacentral:other from 2 species
AGCUCCCUGAUGUGUUGGCCAGUUGGUGAUGUCCCUGAGCCGAUUCACACAACCCGGGGGUUGCGGCUGGAAGCCGGUGCGCAUGUCCGCUCGACGGAAAGCCUUAACGCUUCCUGCAACCUCCACCUUGAACUUUCGGGUUCAAGGGCUAAGCCGACAGCGGCACCUUGGGGAGUCA